CACCAACUCUUAACCUGCUAGUUAGGAGAGGGGAAACUGAGGGUGCCAAUUUAUGAAAAGCCCCUAUUAAAUCCUUUUUAUUUAAACUCUACAGGUAUCUUGAUGUGAGUGGAUGCCGGCAGAUAACCAAUGCAGGAAUCCAUGCAUUGGCAAGAGGCUGCCACCAGCUCAAAUAUCUAGACCUGAGCUCUACAGGAAUAAGCAAAAGAGGAGUUUGUUCAUUGGCUAAUUAUUGUCACAUUAGUUUGGAAUGUGUGAAACUCAGUUUCUGCAAGAAUGUCACCCUGGAUGUGGUUAAAAAACUUUGCAAAAACUGUAGACGGUAAGAGAAUAUUGAUUUUUGCCCACUGUGUCUCUUUCAGUCUUAAAUGUCAUCAUAAAAUAAAGAGGAAACUUGA